rnacentral:rRNA from 1 species
UACGAAGGGGGCUAGCGUUGCUCGGAAUCACUGGGCGUAAAGGGUGCGUAGGCGGGUCUUUAAGUCAGGGGUGAAAUCCUGGAGCUCAACUCCAGAACUGCCUUUGAUACUGAAGAUCUUGAGUUCGGGAGAGGUGAGUGGAACUGCGAGUGUAGAGGUGAAAUUCGUAGAUAUUCGCAAGAACACCGGUGGCGAAGGCGGCUUCCUGGCCGAGUACUGACGCUGAGGCACGAAAGCGUGGGGAGCGAACGGG